GAUGAAGAACGUAGCGAAAUGCGAUAAGUAAUGUGAAUUGCAGAAUUCAGUGAAUCAUCGAAUCUUUGAACGCACAUUGCGCCCCCUGGUAUUCCGGGGGGCAUGCCUGUUCGAGCGUCAUUUCACCACUCAAGCCUCGCUUGGUAUUGGGCAACGCGGUCCGCCGCGUGCCUCAAAUCGACCGGCUGGGUCUUCUGCCCCCUAAGCGUUGUGGAAACUAUUCGCUAAAGGGUGUUCGGGAGGCUACGCCGUAAAACAACCCCAUUUCUAAGGUUGACCUCGGAUCAGGUAGGGAUACCCGCUGAACUUAAGCAUAUCAAUAAGCGGAGGA
rnacentral:misc_RNA from 1 species